rfam:Camelus ferus unplaced genomic scaffold scaffold1288, whole genome shotgun sequence.
GAGGGUAUAGCUCAGUGGUAGAGUGCAUGCUUAGCAUGCAGAGGUCCUGGGUUCAAUCCCCAGUACCUCCA